UUUCAUGUCCAAAUUUUUAUGGCUAUACUCUGUAUUUCUGUACUCUGAUCGAUAGUUUAUGAUCGCAGGAUCUGUUUGUCUAACCGAGCUACCAACUAUGGUUUGUUAAAGGUUUAUGUUCAAUGGCAAGGAGAAGCAAAAGUGUUUCCUUUUUUUGGGGGUAAUUAGGAGAAGCUAAAGUUGUGGUUGCAUCAGCGGCAAAUUGUCUUACCAACUCUUCUUCUGACCAUCCGAAUAGAGAAUCUUUGGCGUCUGUCAGUGACGACUCUGUUAGAGUGUAGACACUUGGAUCUGGAAGUGAAGGGGAUUGUGUUGCUGAGUUAACCUAUAAUGGAAACAAAUUCCAUUUAUGUGUUUUCCAUCCCACCUAUCCUUCAUUGGUUGUUAUCAGGUAAACAAUGUGUUCUUUCUUAUGUGUCUACUUAACCAUCUUUGAUAUAUUCUUAGUUCUCAGUCGUAGGUUCCGCAAGUUGCAACACAUCGUUAUACAUGUACCACUGAAAUCAUGUUCAUUCGUACAGAUAGCUAUUUGGUAGUGCUACAAUAUUCCUGAACACCCAACAAUGCAAUCUGUACCGAAUUGCAAAUUAAAGACGGCCUUUAAAGCAA